UACAAGAUUAAUUAGAGAUAAUCAGCAGAGGGAAGGCACUAAAAUUAAAGGGAUUCAAGAAAGACUUUCUGGAGAAGUUUAGAUUUUUGCUGGAACUUGAAGGAAGCCAUGGAAACCAGGAGGGGAAAACGAAGAAACAGAGAAUUCCAGGAAUGAAGUAGAACCCAGGGAAAUGCCCAGGCUUUGCAGAUGAACAGUAAGGAGAUGAGGAGACUGAAACCAAGAAAGAUUAAGUGACUUACCCAAGGCCUCCAAAGUAGGAAGAAUACAAAAGUAGGAUUUGAAUUCAACUCAAAGUUCUGCAGGGAGAACUGCAGUGUUAUUUCUACUGCUUCUUUUCCACUGUUUCUCAAGGGAAAAGGAAUAAAAGUCUCCUUUGAAAAGGAUGGGCAGAAGAGACUGUAG
rnacentral:lncRNA from 1 species